rnacentral:rRNA from 1 species
GAUGAACGCUGGCGGCGUGCCUAACACAUGCAAGUCGAACGGAAAGGCCCUGAGUUUGCUGGGUGCUCGAGAGGUGAACGGGUGAGGAACACGUGAGUAACCUGCCCUUGACUGUGGGAGAACUUUACGAAACGGGGGCCAAGAGAAGAUAGGAGUUCCAGCUGCUUAGAGGGGGAUGGAAAGUGUCGGCGGUUGGGGAUGGACAGGCGGCUUAUCAGCUUGUUUGUGGGGUAGUGGCUUACCAAGGCUUGGACGGGUAGCAGGCCUGAGAGGGUGACCGGCCACAUUGGAACUGAGCUACGGCACAGACCACUACGCGAGGCAGCAGUGGGGAGGAUUGCACAAUGGACGGAGGCAUGAUGCAGCACCGCCGCGUGCGGGAUGACGGCCUUCGGGUCGUAAACCGCUUUCGCGUGUGACGAGGCGUGAGUGACGGUAAUGGAUAAAGAAGCACCGGCUAACUACGUG